UUGACCUCGGAUCAGGUAGGAUC
rnacentral:rRNA from 1 species